GAAUCGUGAUAAGCCAACCCUCGCCAAAACGCAACGGUAUACUUGAAACCUGUUCGGUACAGAAAGGCAACCUAGGAAAAGCUGACUGCUUGCUUGCCUGGACACGAAGGGUUGAGCUGGCCUGCUUACAUGCAAUACUACUGUACACAGAACGAGGAAGGGAGGAACCAUUUUUGGCCUGGCGCACUGGUUUCGGAGCCCACCCGGAUAAUCCGGCAUCUGUG
rnacentral:lncRNA from 1 species